GGGUGAUUAGCUCAGCUGGGAGAGCACCUCCCUUACAAGGAGGGGGUCGGCGGUUCGAUCCCGUCAU
rnacentral:tRNA from 11 species